GACAUAGGGUGCAAACGUUGUUCGGAAUUACUGGGCGUAAAGCGUGUGUAGGCGGUCUCUUAAGUCGGAUGUGAAAGCCCCGGGCUCAACCCGGGAAGUGCACUCGAAACUGGGAGGCUAGAGUACUGGAGAGGUUGGUGGAAUUCUCGGUGUAGAGGUGAAAUUCGUAGAUAUCGAGAGGAACACCGGUGGCGAAGGCGGCCAACUGGACAGAUACUGACGCUGAGACACGAAAGCGUGGGGAGCAAACAGG
rnacentral:rRNA from 1 species